AUGCCUUGGCUCUCGGAGGCGACGAAGGACGUGACAAGCUGCGAUAAGCCGCGGGGAGGAGCAAAUAUCCCCUGAUCCGCGGAUUUCCGAAUGGGGCAACCCGUCGGGAGCGAUCCCGACAUCCAUGCGGAGCAUGGAGGCGAACGCGGGGAACUGAAACAUCUAAGUACCCGCAGGAAUAGAAAGUAAACACGAUUCCCCCAGUAGCGGCGAGCGAACGGGGAAGAGCCCAAACCGGCGGCGUGGCGACGCGCGUGCCGGGGUUAUAGGGCCGGCGCCGAGCGGAUGCGUCAGGGAAGCGGAACCGUCUGGAAAGGCGGGCCGGAGCGGGUGAGAGCCCCGUACGCGCAAGGAUGGCACAUCUGCGAGCCGGUACCUGAGUAGGCCGGAGCACGAGGAAUUCCGGUUGAAUUGUCGGGGACCAUCCCGAAAGGCUAAAUACUACCGAGAGACCGAUAGCGAACGAGUACCGUGAGGGAAAGGUGAAAAGCACCUCGGACAGAGGAGUGAAAGAGACCCUGAAACCAUGCGCCUACAAGCGGUCGGAGCCACUUCGUGUGGUGACGGCGUGCCUUUUGCAUAAUGAACCUGCGAGUUGCCGUCGGCGGCGAGGCUAAGUGCCUGAGGCACGGAGCCGGAGCGAAAGCGAGUCCGAACAGGGCGCUGAGUCGCCGGAGGCAGACGCGAAACCGAGUGAUCUACGCAUGGGCAGGAUGAAGGACAGGUAACACUGUCUGGAGGUCCGAACCGGUAAGCGUUGAAAAGCUUUCGGAUGACCUGUGCGUAGGAGUGAAAGGCCAAUCAAACUCGGAGAUAGCUCGUACUCCCCGAAAUGCAUUUAGGUGCAGCCUCGGGGUAAGUGCCGCGGAGGUAGAGCGACCGAUAGGAUGCGAGGGCUUCGCCGCCUAUCAAGUCCUGACGAACUCCGAAUGCCGCGGCAUGGUCCCCGGGAGUGAGGGCGCGGGUGCUAAGGUCCGCGUCCGAGAGAGGAACAACUCAGACCACCGUCCAAGGCCCCGAAAUCCGGGCUGAGUUGAAGGCAAUAACGAGGUGGGGCCGCAGCGACAGCUAGGAUGUUGGCUUGGAAGCAGCCAUUCAUUUAAAGAGUGCGUAACAGCUCACUAGUCGAGCGGCCCCGCGUGGAUAAUAAUCGGGCAUAAGUCCGGUGCCGAAGACGUGGAAUCGACAUAAUAGUUGAUUGGUAGGGGAGCAUUCCGUCGUCAGCGAAGGUAUUCCGUGAGGGGUGCUGGAGACGAGGGAAAGGCAAAUGCAGGUAUAAGUAACGACAAAGGGGGCGUGAAACCCCCUCGCCGGAAGACCAAGGGUUCCUGAACAACGCUAAUCGGUUCAGGGUAAGUCGGGACCUAACGCCGGCCGGAGACGGCAGAGGCGGAUGGACAUGCGGUCAAUAUUCCGCAACCCGUCGCGGUCGAGGCCCAGCGGAGACGGAGGAGCGAAGCGCGCGCGCACUGACGGAAUAGUGCGUUGAAGGGAGGUAGGCUGAAGCGUCCGGAGGAAACGGACGUGCCGAGCCCCGAAAGUACUUGAGGCGGCAACGCCGAGAGACAGCCGUGACGGAGCAUACUCCCGAGAAAAUCCGCGCGGGCCGCCUGAGACCGUGUCGGCCCGUACCGCAAACCGACACAGGUGGUCGGGUAGAAAAUACCAAGGCGCUCGAGAGAUUCACGGUCAAGGAACUAGGCAAACCAGCCCCGUAACUUCGGGAUAAGGGGCCCUCCGCGUAGGCGGAGGCGCAGAGAAUAGGUCCAGGCAACUGUUUAGCAAAAACACAGGGCUGUGCGAAGCCGCAAGGCGCGGUAUACAGCCUGACACCUGCCCGGUGCCGGAAGGUUAAGCGGAGUCGUCAUCGCAAGAGAAGCGGCGAAGUGAAGCCCCGGUAAACGGCGGCCGUAACUAUAACGGUCCUAAGGUAGCGAAAUUCCUUGUCGGGUAAGUUCCGACCUGCACGAAUGGUGUAAUGAUCCGGACACUGUCUCGACCGUGAGCUCGGUGAAAUUGUAGUAUCGGUGAAGAUGCCGAUUACCCGCAACGGGACGAAAAGACCCCGUGAACCUUUACUGCAGCUUAGCAUUGGGGCCGGGUGUGCGAUGUGUAGGAUAGUC
rnacentral:rRNA from 1 species